GACAAUUUUGAACAAAGAGUUAAGCUACAUUUAUACCAAGUUACAUUCUAAUUUUAUUUUGCCUUGAUUACAAGAAUAUUAAGAAGUGUACAUUUUCAAGUACCUACAGUGUAAACGAGAGUUUAAGUUUACAUAAGACAUUUAACGACCAUUUGAGUAACUAAACGUUAACAUGACAGCCAAGUGACCUCCCAGUUGAAACUGAGGUUAGUGCAGAACUCCAAGUGCUGUCUGAAGAACAAGCUACUGAUUCUAGCAAGCAACAAGAGCUAGCAGAACCAAGAAGAAGUCAGAGAGUGAAAACACUCACAGAGAAAGGAAAAGAAAUGCAAGAUGAAAGAAUUAAAGGACUCCAACAAAGAUUUAACUACAAUUAUGAAAGGUGGAGAACACAUGCUAAAUCAUCUAAGAAACCCUUCUCUCAAUCUGACCCAUUAAGUGAAGACUUACUGAAAGAUAUUAUUGGUGAUGUUACAGGUCUGUGUGCAGAUGUCACGAAAGUCUAUGACGAGUUACGCAAGCUCACCCCACCAGAUCAUGAGACACGUCGCAGAGUAGAUCAAUGCGUGGAGAUUUCAAACUUCAUUGUGGAUCGAGCGACUAAUCGAUUGGACGGCAAAGAGGAAGAGGAACAAGAUUGGCCAGAUGCAGGCUCCCUCUUUCAGACAACAAGCAGUAAGUCAAGCUCCUUUAACACAACUAAGAACAAAUCUGAGCAUUCAAGUAGGUCCUCUGUAAAGCAUCAAGACGCCGCAGCAGAAGCAGCUGCAAGUCAAGCUGUUCUCAAUGUGUUACAAGAACAAGAGAAGGAACAGCAAGAAAUCGCUAUGCUUGAAGCUGAAGUCAGGAAAAAGGCUGCAGAGCGAGAAGCAUUAGUCAAGCAAAUGCGCUUAGAAAGAGAGGCAGAGGAAAUCAAACUGAGAAUGCAAAGAGAAGCUGAUGAAGCAAAGUUAAAGGCUCAACAAGAAGAAGAGUAUGCAGUACUGCAAAGAACACUUGAUGAGAAGAAAAGAAAGGUACAGCACCUGGAAAAGGUUAAAGAUCUCAAGGCAGCACAAGCAAGGAUGCAAGUGUAUGACCAAGCGAGUGUUACCG
rnacentral:lncRNA from 1 species